GGCUCUGUGGCGCAAUGGAUAGCGCAUUGGACUUCUAGCCGAUCGGGGUGUGGUGAUUCAAAGGUUGUGGGUUCGAGUCCCACCAGAGUCG
rnacentral:tRNA from 1 species